rnacentral:rRNA from 1 species
GAGCGCACCUUCGGGUGAGCGGCGGACGGGUUAGUAACGCGUGGGAACGUGCCCUUUUCUGCGGAAUAGCCACUGGAAACGGUGAGUAAUACCGCAUACGCCCUUCGGGGGAAAGAUUUAUCGGAGAAGGAUCGGCCCGCGUUAGAUUAGGUAGUUGGUGGGGUAAUGGCCUACCAAGCCUACGAUCUAUAGCUGGUUUGAGAGGAUGAUCAGCAACACUGGGACUGAGACACGGCCCAGACUCCUACGGGAGGCAGCAGUGGGGAAUCUUAGACAAUGGGGGCAACCCUGAUCUAGCCAUGCCGCGUGAGUGAUGAAGGCCUUAGGGUCGUAAAGCUCUUUCGCUGGGGAUGAUAAUGACAGUACCCAGUAAAGAAACCCCGGCUAACUCCGUGCCAGCAGCCGCGGUAAUACGGAGGGGGUUAGCGUUGUUCGGAAUUACUGGGCGUAUAGCGCACGUAGGCGGACUGGAAAGUUAGAGGUGAAAUCCCGGGGCUCAACCCCGGAACUGCCUUUAAAACUAUCAGUCUAGAGUUCGAGAGAGGUGAGUGGAAUUCCGAGUGUAGAGGUGAAAUUCGUAGAUAUUCGGAGGAACACCAGUGGCGAAGGCGGCUCACUGGCUCGAUACUGACGCUGAGGUGCGAAAGUGUGGGGAGCAAACAGGAUUAGA